rnacentral:antisense_RNA from 1 species
GUUCCGCCGGGAGAGGGAAGGCGAAGGCGGGCUGAGCCCGGCGCCGGGAGGAGUGGUCUAAACUCCACCGCGGCUUUCGCAUCGGAGACGUGUCUUUAGGAAGCAGAGAGGGUUCGAUUCUGGACUCCGCCCAUGACUCACUUCUCUUGUAAAGAAAGAGUUGUCCUUCCUGGUACUCCAGGUUUAUGGGAUGCAGGAUAAUGGAGCAUGCUCUAUCUGGGACAUUGCUAGUCUUAUGACAGAGGGAGAAGACAGCGAUGAGUUUUCGAAGAACUCCAGGAAGUGGCUGCAGAGCAAAGUAGGAUCCUGAUACUGAGCUCAAGUGAUUCAGAAUGAAAAGACCUUGGCACAGACCUGUUAAGGAAGCUCCAUAUAAGGUGAAGAAAACAACAUGCUCAGCCAUGUCCUUGCCUUCUGCACACGGUAGUGCAUUCACUGCCUGAGAAUUCAAGGCUAAAACAAAAAGAGGAGCUUUUGUUCCAACAGAUAAGUACUUACCUUUUUCAAAAAAUGCAUAAGCUGUCCUGGGUGUU